GUGGGGAAUCUUAGACAAUGGGGGAAACCCUGAUCUAGCCAUGCCGCGUGAUCGAUGAAGGCCUUAGGGUUGUAAAGAUCUUUCAGCUGGGAAGAUAAUGACGGUACCAGCAGAAGAAGCCCCGGCUAACUCCGUGCCAGCAGCCGCGGUAAUACGGAGGGGGCUAGCGUUGUUCGGAAUUACUGGGCGUAAAGCGCACGUAGGCGGAUUGGAAAGUUGGGGGUGAAAUCCCGGGGCUCAACCCCGGAACUGCCUUCAAAACUCCCAGUCUUGAGGUCGAGAGAGGUGAGUGGAAUUCCGAGUGUAGAGGUGAAAUUCGUAGAUAUUCGGAAGAACACCAGUGGCGAAGGCGACUCACUGGCCCAAUACUGACGCUGAGGCGCGAAAGCGUGGGGAGCAAACAGGAUUAGAAACCCUUGUAGUCC
rnacentral:rRNA from 1 species